rnacentral:misc_RNA from 1 species
GAUGAAGAACGCAGCGAAAUGCGAUAAGUAAUGUGAAUUGCAGAAUUCAGUGAAUCAUCGAAUCUUUGAACGCACAUUGCGCCCCUUGGUAUUCCGAGGGGCAUGCCUGUUCGAGCGUCAUUAUAACCCCUCAAGCUCAGCUUGGUGUUGGGGCCUGCUGCACUGGCAGCCCUUAAAAUCAGUGGCGGCGCCAUCUGGCUCUAAGCGUAGUAAUUCUUCUCGCUAUGGAGUCCUGGUGGAUGCUUGCCAUCAACCCCCAAUUUUUCUAUGGUUGACCUCGGAUCAGGUAGGGAUACCCGUUGAACUUAAGCAUAUCAAUAAGCGGAGGA